rnacentral:rRNA from 1 species
UACGUAGGGGGCGAGCGUUGUCCGGAUUUAUUGGGCGUAAAGAGCGUGUAGGCGGUUCGGUAAGUCUGUCGUGAAAUCCUGAGGCUCAACCUCGGGCGUGCGAUGGAUACUGCCGGGCUAGAGGAUGGUAGAGGCGAGUGGAAUUCCUGGUGUAGCGGUGAAAUGCGCAGAUAUCAGGAGGAACACCAAUGGCGAAGGCAGCUCGCUGGGACGUGACUGACGCUGAGACGCGAAAGCGUGGGGAGCAAACAGG